rnacentral:rRNA from 1 species
CCUACGGGAGGCAGCAGUGAGGAAUAUUGGUCAAUGGGCGUAAGCCUGAACCAGCCAAGUCGCGUGAGGGAUGAAGGUUCUAUGGAUCGUAAACCUCUUUUAUAAGGGAAUAAAGUGUGGGACGUGUCCUGUUUUGUAUGUACCUUAUGAAUAAGGAUCGGCUAACUCCGUGCCAGCAGCCGCGGUAAUACGGAGGAUCCGAGCGUUAUCCGGAUUUAUUGGGUUUAAAGGGUGCGUAGGCGGCCUAUUAAGUCAGCGGUGAAAGUCUGUGGCUCAACCAUAGAAUUGCCGUUGAAACUGGGAGGCUUGAGUAUGGUUGAGGCAGGCGGAAUGCGUGGUGUAGCGGUGAAAUGCUUAGAUAUCACGCAGAACCCCGAUUGCGAAGGCAGCCUGCCAAGCCAUGACUGACGCUGAUGCACGAAAGCGUGGGGGUCAAACAGGAUUAGAUACCCUAGUAGUC